UGGGGAAUAUUGGACAAUGGAGGAAACUCUGAUCCAGCAAUUCUGUGUGUGUGAAGAAGGGUUUAGGACUGUAAAACACUUUUAGUAGGGAAGAAAAAAAUGACGGUACCUACAGAAGAAGCAACGGCUAAAUACGUGCCAGCAGCCGCGGUAAUACGUAUGUUGCGAGCGUUAUCCGGAAUUAUUGGGCUUAAAGGGCAUCUAGGCGGUAAGACAAGUUGAAGGUGAAAACCUGUGGCUCAACCAUAGGCUUGCCUACAAAACUGUUGAACUAGAGUACUGGAAAGGUGGGUGGAACUACACGAGUAGAGGUGAAAUUCGUAGAUAUGUGUAGGAAUGCCGAUGAUGAAGAUAACUCACUGGACAGAAACUGACGCUGAAGUGCGAAAGCUAGGGGAGCAAACAGG
rnacentral:rRNA from 1 species